rnacentral:rRNA from 1 species
AUUGAACGCUGGCGGCAGGCCUAACACAUGCAAGUCGAGCGAGAGGCGGACGGGUGAGUAAUGUAUGGGGACUGCCCGUUAGAGGGGGAUAACUAAUGGAAACGGUGGCGAUUACCGCGCAUUGCCGCAUUACCCAUAUGGGAUUGGAUAGUCGGUAAGGUAAAGGCUUACCUAGGCGACGAUCCCUAGCUGGUCUGAGAGGAUGAUCAGCCCGACUGGGACUGAGACACGGCCCAGACUCCUACGGAGGCAGCAGUGGGGAAUAUUGCACAAGGGGCGCAAGCCUGAUGCAGCCAUGCCGCGUGUAUGAAGAAGGCCCUCGGGUUGUAAAGUACUUUCAGUCGGGAGGCGUUACCGACAGAAGAAGCACCGGCUAACUCCGUGCCAGCAGCCGCGGUAAUUC